UACGAAGGGGGCUAGCGUUGUUCGGAAUUACUGGGCGUAAGGCGCGUGUAGGCGGGUCCUUAAGUCAGGGGUGAAAUGCCAAGGCUCAACCUUGGAACUGCCUUUGAUACUGGGGAUCUUGAGUCCGGGAGAGGUGAGUGGAACUGCGAGUGUAGAGGUGAAAUUCGUAGAUAUUCGCAAGAACACCAGUGGCGAAGGCGGCUCACUGGCCCGGUACUGACGCUGAGAUGCGAAAGCGUGGGGAGCAAACAGGG
rnacentral:rRNA from 1 species